UGAAUAUAGUCCGAUCUAUCGUCUCCUAGUGGAUGCAAAUAGAGACACGGAAAUGCACGUCUUCAUUUGGUCUAGUAAGCACCACAUACGGAUCCGGUUAGUAGCCAGAAAGAUAACAACAACCGGGGCUGCUCUCAUCUAUUUCCGCAUGGGGUCAGCGUAUGCACGUCCUCGACAUCGAGGACAAUUCGUUGUUUCAAUUCUGAAACAAAAACGUAAUGCUCGGUGGUUCUACUUCUGGUGCAAUGCAACACGACGUAAAUUUAUUUCAAAGAGCUCGCUUCGUUUCACAGCGCCGGUGCCGGCAUGUUGGGCGCCUUCCCCACCGUGAACCCGCCGUCGACGACGAGGUUAUGGCCGUUGACUUACUUGACCUCGUCGGACGCCAGGUACAGCGCCGCCCUCGCGAUGUCGUCCGGCUCCAGCACCGCGCCCUCCAUCUCGUUGAUGUCCCCCUCCACGAUACGCCGGUGCUCCUCCGCGCUGGCCUUCGGGUACCACUGCUCCAGGAUGCGCAUCACCAGCGGCGUCGGGAUGUAGUUGGGCGAGACGGCGUUGACGCGCACGCCGGAGCGCGCCAUCUCCCCGGCCGCGGCGCGCACGAUCCCCAGCACCGCCGCCUUGGACACGCUGUACGGGUGCGGCGUCACGCUGCCCAGCACGCCGGCGACGCUGGCCAUGCAAAUGAUGCUGCCGCUGCGGCGCGGCGCCACGACGCGGGCCGCGUGCUUGACCCCGGCCAGCACGCCCCGGGCGUUGAUCGCCUUGACGGCGUCGAAGUCGGCGAGGUCCAGAUCGCUCAGCCGGGGACGCGCCAGCGAGCCCACGAUGCCGGCGUUGUUGAGCAUGAUGUCCAGCUUGCCGUGGCGGGCCACGGCGAGGUCCACCGCCGCGGCGACCUGCGCCUCCUCGGUCACGUCGCAGUGCGUGUAGCAUGCCGCGUCCGGCCCGAGCUCGGCCGCCACGGCGCGGCCCAGGUCGUCCUGGACGUCGGCGAGGACGACCUUGGCGCCGUUCCUGACGAACUCCUCCGCCGUCGCCUUGCCUGUAAGACAAUAGGCUUUGGAGGGAACCGGCACAACCCUCUAGGUGUGGCCUAUCACAUAUAUAUAUAAUGAGGUGGUAUACAAUGUUACAAUAUACAUAUGUAAAUACAGUCUAACACCCUCCCUCAAUCUUAGCCACUUUCUAAUGAAUCUAGAAGGGUAAGAUUGCGCCUGCAAGUCUCAAACUGUGGCAAAGGCAAUGGCUUGGUGAAGAUGUCAGCAAGUUGAUCCUUGGAAGAAAUAAACUUGAUCUGUAGUUGCUUCUGAGAGACACGUUUACGCAUAAAGUGAUAGUCAACUUCAAUGUGUUUCGUUCGGGCAUGGAAUACCGGAUUUGCAGAAAGGUAUGUAGCACCGAUAUUAUCACACCAAAGAACAGGAGGAUGUGAUUGGGGUAUACUUAACUCCUGAAGCAAGGACUGUACCCAGAUGAUCUCUGAUGUGGCAUUGGCCACAGCCUUAUACUCAGCCUCAGUACUGCUACGCGAGACAGUAGCCUGUUUCCGAGCACUCCAGGCAAUCAGGUUAGAGCCAAAGAAGACAGCAUAACCCCCCGUGGAUCGCCUGUCAUCCGGAUUGCCAGCCCAGUCUGCAUCAGAAUAUGCUGAAAGACAACCAGAGUCAGACGGUCGAAUAUGCAAACCAUGAGCCACCGUGAAACGAAUAUAGCGCAAAAUCCGCUUAACAGCAGACCAAUGAGUGUCACGGGGUGACUGCAGAUACUAGCAGACUCGGUUAACAGCAUAGGAAAUGUCUGGUCGCGUGAUCGUCAAGUACUGGAGCCCACCAACAAUACUCCUGUACUCUGUCGCAUCAGAAGAAGAAAGAAGCACACCAUCAACAGCAUUGAGCUUAUCAGUGGUAGACAUGAGUGUAGUCGUCGGUUUGCACUUAAGCAUCCCAGCUCACUGCAACAAAUCCAGAGAGUACUUCUUCUGCGUCAUAACAAGGCCAGCAGCACGAGAAGUAACCUCCACACCAAGAAAGUAAUGAAGCUUCCCAAGGUCCUUGACCGCAAAAUCAGCACCAAGUGAGCGAACAAGCGCAGUAGCAGCCGACUGAGAGGAGCUGACCAAAAUGAUAUCAUCUACAUAGACCAACAAGUACAUAGUAACCUCAGGCCUUUGAAGAAGAAACAAUGAGGAGUCAGCAGUUGAUGAUGCAAAACCAUGAGCACGAAGAGCCAUUGCAAGACGAGCAUGCCAAGCACGAGGAGCCUGCUUCAGACCAUAAAUUGCCUUGGACAGACGACAGAGAUGAUCAGGGCGAUCCGGAUCAGAGAAACCCGGAGGCUGACGCAUGUAAACCUCCUCCGCCAAGACACCAUGAAGAAAAGCAUUUUGAACAUCAAGCUGACGAAGAAACCAACCUCGAGUAACAGCCAGAGAGAGAAGAAGUCUGAUGGUAGUAGGCUUGACCACUGGACUGAAGGUGUCUUCAUAGUCAAGUCCAAAACGCUGUCGAAAACCACGAGCAACCAGACGAGCCUUACAGCGCUCAAUGGACCCAUCAGAAUGCCUCUUCACUUUGAAAACCCAUUUGGAAUCAAUGACAUUUACCCGUGAUUGUGGAGGAACAAGAGUCCAUGUCUGAUUGCGAAGAAGCGCUUGAUACUCCUGCUCCAUGGCCUCUCUCCAAUGAGGAAUGCGCAUAGCAGCUUGAUACGUGCGUGGCUCAGAGGAUGGAUCUGCGAGAGCAGCAGACAUGCACGCCGCUAACCAAGCAACUGUGCCAUCGUGACGUUGCUUAGGCUGAAAAAUGCCACUCCGACUGCGCGUAUGUGGACGUAGAGCAGCAGCAGGAGCCGGCGGAGGCGAAGGUGACGGAGAUGUGACGGUCGCCGGAGAUGCAGGAAUCACCUCAGGCGAGCUCGGGACAGACGACUCCGGGCUGCAUGGCGAAGACUGGCCCGACGACAGGGGCUCAGAGGCCAUGGGCGAACCGAGAGUGGGCGAGGCCAGCUCCGGUGACACCGGCCCAGACGGCCUUGGCGAGGCGAGAGCAGGCGAGGCCAGCCCUGGUGAGAAGGGCCCAGACACCCUGGGCGAGGCAGGGGCGGGCGAGGCCAGGCCUGGUGAUGACUGCCCCGACGCCCUGGGCGAGACGGGGACCGAGGAGGCCGGCCCAGUCGGCGGGGUUGCAGGGCGCGACGAUGGCGAAGGCAGCCCAGAAGCCAGAGGCGACCGGGCCAGGACGUCGAUCGGCCGUGCAUGAGCACGGAAACCGAGGCCAUGCAGGGGCGCCAUGUGCUCCUCAUGCACAACAGAAGGUGCCAAGGAUGAAGGCGAUGGCGACAAAGAGGAAGAUGGCACUUCCAGAAUCUCCAAACGAGCCCCACGACCAGUGCCUGCACCAUGGUUAGGCAACAAUAGAGGAGAAUAUGCAACAUCAUCAAAUUGGUCAGAAGCAACAGAGAAUGAAUGCAUGACAGGUGGCUCAGUGUGGACACAGGGAGUUUGGCAAAGGGAAAAACAUGCUCAUCAAACACAACAUCCCGAGAGAUGUAGACACGAUUAGUGGGCACAUGAAGACAUUUGUAUCCUUUAUGAAGAGAGCUAUAACCAAGAAAAACACACUUCUUGGAACGAAACUCGAGCUUACGCUUGUUAUAUGGACGGAGAUGGGCCAGCAAGCACACCCAAACACCUUGAGAAAGGUGUAGUCCGGUUGUUCAUUAAGGAGAACUUCAAUGGGAGUCUUCAUAUUCAAAACACGAGUGGGAGUACGAUUGAUGAGAAAACAUGCAGUGAUGAAAGCAUCACUCCAAAAACGAAACGGAACAGAUGCAUGGGCCAAAAGAGUCAGACCAGCUUCAACAAUGUGACGAUGCUUACGUUCUACUGAACCAUUCUGCUGAUGUGUAUGUGGACAUGCUAAACGGUGAGUGAUCCCAAGCGACUGAAAGAAGGAGUUGAGGUUGCGAUACUCGCCACCCCAGUCCGACUGAACAUGAACAAUUUUGUGCUUGAGAAGGCGUUCAACAUGUUUUUGGAACUGAACAAAAAUGUCAAACACAUCAGAUUUACGUUUGAUAAGAUAAAGCCAGGUAAAGCGGCUGUAAGCAUCAACAAAACUGAUAUAGUAAUUAUGACCACUAACAGAAGUCUGAGCAGGACCCCAUACAUCUGAAAACACAAGUUCUAAAGGAUGUUUCACCUCACGACUGGACUCCGAAAAAGGAAGUUGAUGACUCUUCCCCUGCUGACAAGCAUCACACACUGCUACAUCUUUAUUACUAGACACACUAGGAAGCUCAUGACGACGCAAAACAUGCCGGACAAUAGGUGUGGCCGGGUGACCAAGACGAGCAUGCCACUGUGACGGAGAUACCCGAACUCCACUGAAGACGCGAGCGAUGCCAGGGUGCUCCAAACGAUAGAGACCUUGGCAGAGCCGCCCACUAAGAAGAAUGUCCCUCGUGCCCCGAUCCUUAAUAAAAAGAUCAAAAGGAUGAAAUUCACAAAGCACAUUAUUAUCACGAGUGAGUUUAGGAACUGAAAGAAGAUUACGUGUCACAGAUGGAACUCGAAGAACAUUGCGAAGUUGAAGACUCCUAUUGGCAUGUCUAGUGAGAAGUGAUGCUUGACCAAUAUGAGAGAUGUGCAUACCUGCUCCAUUGGCGGUGUGGAUCUUGUCGGAGCCAUGGUAGGGUUCACGAGUGUGAAGCUUCCCCAUCUCACUGGUCAGGUGCUCUGUCGCCCCAGAGUCCAUGUACCAGUGGGGAUCAAUGGAGUAGGACUGAGUGUGUCCCUGUGGCUUCUGCGGCGGCGGACGAUCAGCCAUGGCGACCUGAUGAGCAAAGUUGCGUGUAUCCUUCCCGUCAUUGCCGAGACCAAGAAAACCCCGCUGGAAGCGCUUGUGACACUUCGAGGCCCAGUGCCCAUCGCGACCACAAAGCUGGCACACACGUGGACCGCCAGCCCCUGGUAGCGUCGCAGUAGGAGGAGGGGCCGAGGCGGGUGGUGGUGACUGCCCCGAAGGAGCCCUGAAUGAAGCAGAGGAGCGACCACCCUUGGUGGCGGCGUUUGCCGAGAGGCGCCGUUGCCCCUGGAUCGGCGCGUCUCGACUCGUUGCUCAGUAAGCAGGAGGCGUGAAAAGACCUCGUGUGCUGGCAUGGGCGUGGAGUUGCCCCUCUCAUUGAUGAUCUCGACUAGGGCGUCAUACUCCUCAUCAAGACCAUUGACAAUAAACGAGUUGAACUCGGAGUCGGUGAGGGGUUGUCCAAUGGAGGCCAGCGUGUCGGCGAGACUCUUGACUUUGUUGUAGAACUCAGUGGCGGUGGAGUCAAGCUUCUGACACUCCCCAAGUUGGCGACGGAGCCCAGAUACACGAGCCUGUGACUGUGCCGCAAACGAGCGCUCAAGAAUAGUCCAUGCCUCGUGGGACGUCUUGGCGAAGACAACAAGCCCAGCAACGGCCGGAGAGAGCGACCCCUGGAUGGAGGAGAGGUUCGCCUGAUCCUGCCCUGUCCAGACACGGUGAGCCGGAUUAUAGACCGGACCGUGCACGCUGUCAACUAGCGCAGGAGGGCAAGGGAGAGAGCCGUCGACAUAGCCAAGCAGAUAGUGACUCCCAAGAAGCGGAAGAACCUGCGCGCGCCAGAAGAUGUAGUUGUCCGACGACAACUUGAUGGUGAUGAGAUGGCCGAAGUGAAACGGCGGCGGCGGCUGCGAUCCCAUCGAGGAGACUGGCUGAGGUGAGACCACCGUGGAGACAGUCAGAGGGGCAGCCGGCGCGGUGACAGAGGGCGCGAUGGCCGCGGUUGACGCCACGAAGCCUGCCAGCGCGACGUCCGCCGCCAACAGCGGCGCAGUGGCCGAGGGCGCGACAGCCGCGGUUGACGGGGCGGCGGCGGUGUGGGCCACAAGCGCCUGCCCAGGCGAAGUAGCAGCCGGCGGGAGUGCGAAGAGGGAGCCGACGCUCCGUGUCCCGAUCGGCGCCUGAAGGGAGGCGGCAUCCAGCGGCCUCGAGAGAAGUGCCGCGAGGGAGGCCGGCAGAAAACCGGUGGCGAUGGAGCCGGACGCAGCGGACGUCAUAGCAGUCGGGCGACGGCGACGGCGGGCGCGGCGGCGGCGGCGGUGGCGGCGGCGGUUUAGGGUUUUUAGGCGGAAGCGGACGUAACCUAGCGUGAUACCAUGUAAAACAAUAGACUUUGGGGGGAACCGGCACAACCCUCUAGGUGUGGCCUAUCACAUAUAUAUAUAAUGAGAUGGUAUACAAUGUUACAAUAUACAUAUGUAAAUACAAUCUAACAUUGCCGAUGCCGCUGGCCCCGCCGGUAAUCACGGCCACCUUUCCAGCCAACCUCUGGGAGCUCGAGGCCGUGGAGUAGCCGCAGCGGCUGGCGUAGCCGGCCACCGACGCCCGCGCAGCCCGGCGGCUCUCAACCCUGCAACACACACGCGCGCACACACCAAGACCAAGAUCAGCACGCACAUGCAGCCAUGCAGGGCGUAGGUAGAUUUGCUGUUCUCUUCCGAAACCAACGCCGGCGUUACCUGGUGACGACCUGCACCGCUCGGAUCAUCUUUGUGGAUCUUGGCGAAGUGCGACUUGGCGAGGCGAAGGAGACGACAGAGCAGCCGAUAUUUAUCCGGGCGACGGCCCGCCACGUACGCCCCGCCCGAUAUGGAUCAUUGCACUACGCCAUGUGGGCUCUGACGUAGCAAGUUGCAACCAUGCGGACAAAGGACACGGGCACGCCGGGUUUGUACAGUUCCACUGACAGGACAGGCGAAACACCAUUGCCACCCCUACCCUGGAUUCUUUCACCGAUUGGGAACUCGGUGAAUGCACCGGGAAGAUGCCGUCUGCACACUAGGACCAAAGCAAAAGGUCAUUCGAUGCAUCGACCGUGACAUUUCACCGUGUUCAUCUGCGCUGCAGUCCUACAUUUUCACCCAAGGACAGUUGACGCAGCGUGCAUUUACCCAAGCAUGCAAUGCAAAGACAGGACCUGGCCAUGCCGGGCUGUAGCCGAAGUGACAUCCUCUGGGUCCGUAUAGCAUAGUGUAGCUUGCUGUAGUUUAGAAUGCUUAAACGAUGGGCGGGGCGGGGAGUAACUCGAACUCAUCUAGAUGAGAUAUAAUUUGGUUUCAUUCACUUUGCAAACAAAAAUAAAUACAAUCCACGACAGCACAUACAUCUUAUGGCAUCAUAUCCAAUGGCUAUAAUGAGACCAAAUUAUAUCUCAUCUAGAUGAGUUCUAGCAAAACUGAAAAAAUAUUAGCAGAGGAGAGUGAAUACUUAUGUUUCUUUUGCACUCAUCAUUAUGAGUGCACGCACGUGCAUUCUACCUCUAUGAGCAACUCCGAAAGAUUGAGCCGGCACAUCACCUUAAGAUUGAUGAAAUCGUCACAGAUGCCUUCGUAGUCGAUGAGAACGUCCCCUUUCAUUGAACACACAUUAUCAGAGGGACUGAAAUAAAUCCAGAAAAAUGCAAGCAUCAGUGUCUAUUUUUCUUUUCUAAGGUGAACACCAAUGUCAAGUUUAGGACUUGAACCCUUGUGGGCUGAGAUAUCACUGUCCUACUAACCAUUCAAACACAAGUUGGUUCGCAACGAAUACUUAUGCUAAUUAUACCCCUCCGUCCUAAAAUGUAGUGCUUAUCAGACAUUAUCAAAGUUAAACUUUACAAAUUUUGAUCAAGUUUAUAAUUUUUUAAACAUGUAGUAUAACAAAUCGAUACCAUUAAAUUCUAAAUCCCAGCUAGUUGAAAAAUACUUUCAUCUCAUUUGCACACUUGACCUUCCGUUAAAAAAACAAGUGUCGUGAUUCAUGCAACGUCCGGAGCGCCUAGCUCAGCUUGCGUAGUGAUCCCUCAUCCAGGAGCUCUAACAUGCCGUGUAUGUCGGCAGAUAGCCACCAAUCGCGCACCCAUGCAAACCCACUUGCAUUUUGCGACCCAUGUGCGGACUAUUUUUCUUUGAGAACUAUUAAAGCAUGUAUAAUGGUUGAUAAGGUAGUCUUAUCUUAACUGUUGAAUGUAAAUUAGAGAUGACAAAAAAACAUGUUUACAAUGAGUCAUUUCUUAGUCUUAUCUUUAAUAAUUAGUUGUUCCUAAAAACAUGAUGAGACAAAUUGUGUUAAGAGAUCAUCUCUUGUCUUCUCUUAAAUAAGAGAAGGCAAGCCUUAUCUUACGAUUUCUUUCUCCUCCACCUCAUCAUUUAUCCUACGUGGCACUCUUAAGAUAAAACCGUUGUACAUGCCCUUAUGAAUCUCAAAUUUAAAGAAAUAUUUGGAUUUUGAAAUGUUGUGAAUUUCAAUAACUGUUCAUGAAUUUGAAAAAAAUCGGGCAUUUUCAAAAUAUAUAAAAUUCUAAAAUGUCCCAAAUAAGAAAAAAUAUCACAAAUGUAAAAAAAUAUUCACGAGUUUGAGAAAACUUCUAAAAUUGAGGGAAGAAAUCCCGAAUUUGAUAAAUGUUAGGGAUUUCAUAAAAUGUUCAUGAAUUUGAAAAUUGUUUCAAAUUUCUAAUAAUGCUCAUGAAUUUUAACAAUUUUUCACAAAUUUCAACAAUGGUCCGAAUUUUUGUAAACAAAUCAAGAAUUUAAACAGAAGUUCAUUAAUUUGAAAAAAAAUCUCGGACUUAAAAAACUUUCCCAUAAUUUAUGAAGAAUAUUCAUGAAUUUUAAAAAAUGUUCGCAAAUUCAAAAGUAUUCAUAAAUUUCAAAACUUGUUCAUGAUUAAGAAAAUAUGCAUGAAUUUGAAAAAUAUAUUAUUUUCAAAAAUUAUUCAUGAAUUCCAAAAAAUAUUUGAAACUUCAAAAAAUGUUUGUGAGUUCAAAAAAGUUCAUGGUUUUCAAAAAAUUCUCAUGAGUUAAAAAUAUAUUCAUUUGAGAAUUGUUCACAGAUUGCAAAAAAAAUGGUGAAUUCAAAUAUUAUUUGCAGGUUUGAAAAUGUUUAUGAAUUUCAAAAAAAGGAAUUUUUUAAAAUGUUCACGAAAUUAGAAAAAGGAAAUUAGAAUAAUAAAUAGAAGGAAAGGAUGAAAANNNNNNNNNNNNNNNNNNNNNNNNNNNNNNNNNNNNNNNNNNNNNNNNNNNNNNNNNNNNNNNNNNNNNNNNNNNNNNNNNNNNNNNNNNNNNNNNNNNNNNNNNNNNNNNNNNNNNNNNNNNNNNNNNNNNNNNNNNNNNNNNNNNNNNNNNNNNNNNNNNNNNNNNNNNNNNNNNNNNNNNNNNNNNNNNNNNNNNNNNNNNNNNNNNNNNNNNNNUAGUGAGUUCUUACCUAUGUUCAGGCAUCCGCAUUUGAUUGUCUACACUCAUAACAGAAAGAUAAAUCGCCAAAAUUUGGAAGCAGACUCCGAAUCUCCGGAAUGACCAGAGAAUUCGCUCCUUGGAUUCCUUCCAAAAUGUCCUUCACCACCAUCGAUGAGUCACAUGCAAUGACUGCCGAAUGUAUGUUAAGAUCUUGCGCCAAGGAUAGGGCUUCAUGGCACACCAUGGUCUCAACGCAGGUUAGAUCAAUCACUCCUUCUGCCACGAGUAUUGAUCCUCCCUGAUAAACACCUGCAUGAUGUCUGAAGAUUAUUUCGGCCGAACUCUUGCUUCGAGCUGUUCAUCUACUCCCUCCGUUCUAAAUUACUUGUCUUGGAUUUGUCUAGAUACAGAAGUAUCUAGCACUAAAAUGAGUCUAGAUACAUCUGUAUCUAGACAAAUCCAAGACAAGUAAUUCGGAACGGAGGGAGUACAAGACAAUGUGCUUAUUUCGAUUUAGUCUUCCAAGCACAUCUCUGAACACUGUGGUGGAGUGUGUCGAUCGUGUGGAGCCCUAGGCAUAUGUUUCAUAAGUCAACGUCCAAUUCCCUCGCAAAAUAAAAAUAUACAUAAAAAUAAGUCAACGUCCAAUCCCAGAAGUAGAGUUCGCUACGAGUCUACGAGAUUUUUUUUUUUGAAGUGACACAGUUCAUUCAUCACGAAGGUUUUCUUUUGCAAUGCUGAAGAAAUAAACAGAUUUGUUCCGGUAGAGCAAUACGCUGACUCCGAUUGUGUCCCUUCACUGCGCCGGUGCCGGCAUGUUGGGUGCCUUCCCCACCGUGAACCCGCCGUCGACGACGAGGUUGUGGCCGUUGACGUACUUGGAGUCGUC
rnacentral:lncRNA from 1 species